CCCCACAUACUGUGGCUGAAAUUGGUUGGGAGGUAUUGGAGCAUAUGCAGGGUUUGAGGCCACAGGAGGAGGAGCCUUGUAAACACUUGGAGUCACCUCAGGUAUAGUAGGGCUAACUGAUUUGGUGGGAUAGAUAGGUGGAGUACCAUCCUUGUAUGCUGCUGAGGUAACAGCACUUUGUGGUAUUAGGGUUCUGCCUGAGAGUAACACAUUUGGGUCACCCAUGUUGUGCUGCAAGGCCAUGUUGUAUGGUUGUGUUACUUGUGUGGGUCCAACAGGCAUCACAUAAACUGGGUACUGUUGCUGACCAAUUG
rnacentral:lncRNA from 1 species